rfam:Oryza rufipogon genomic scaffold, chr05
AAAAAGUCAAACUUUGGGUUUCCGUGUCCAAUUUUAACUGUCCGUCUUAUAUGAAAUUUUUUUAUGAUUUGCAUUUUCAUUGUUGUUAGAUGAUAAGACAUGAUUAAUAUUUUAUGCGUGAUUUGUCUUUUUAAUUUUUCAUAUUUUUUUUAAAUAAGACGGACGGUCAAACGUUAGACAUGGAAAUCAAGGUUUGUCUUUUUC